UCGGAUUCAGGGAUGGCUGGGAUGCGACUGCUGAUGUUUGAAUUCUUGUAGCAUGUGUUAACUUCUUACGAAGUAAAUAUGCCACCUUGAGAUUUGCAAAUAAAAAAAUAAAAAAAAUCAAACAAGUGGCACCGACGCACGCGCAUCACAUUUUAUUGAUUGAUUCAGCAGUGACAGACGUUCAAUCUGCCUACACAGUUUCUUCAGCUCUUUAUUUUGAAGGUUACUUGGCGUUAAUUAUUGCCCCACCUCUUGUUGCACUCAGCUAUACAAUCCGCAACACCUUGUGCAUCUGCAAAAUCAUCAAGACGAGCACAAGAUCAUCAGAACAGAUGGUGAUUUUUUUCAUGUCAACAGAAAAAAGAGGGCAUAGACAUCAAUGGUCAUGAGAAAUUCAUCUAUAAACGAAGCAAAUGCAACGCAAGUAACGGGGUCUGUCGUCUUACAGGUUGGUGCCACCACNNN
rnacentral:lncRNA from 1 species